rnacentral:lncRNA from 1 species
GCAGGCCGGCUGCUGCCUGUCCUUCCACUCCAGUCCAUUCAGUCCGGGCACCAGGCUUCCACCCGCACAUGCGGGCCACUUUGACUCAGGGACAGCAGUUUGUUGCUGAGGCUCUUGUAUGUGGAUAAGAGCUCGUUUUCGUCAACUAUUUACAUUUAUUUGAGUCUGACUUCUGUGCUGGCCUUUCUGCUUUGGCCAGAAACAGAAA